rnacentral:rRNA from 1 species
UACGGAGGGUGCAAGCGUUAUCCGGAUUUACUGGGUUUAAAGGGUGUGUAGGCGGACUUUUAAGUCCGUGGUGAAAUCUCCGGGCUCAACCCGGAAACUGCCAUGGAUACUAUUGGUCUUGAAUGUUGUUGAGGUGGGCGGAACGGGUCAUGUAGCGGUGAAAUGCAUAGAGAUGACCCGGAACACCGAUUGCGAAGGCAGCCCACUAAGCAACCAUUGACGCUGAGGCACGAAAGCGUGGGGAUCAAACAGG